rnacentral:rRNA from 1 species
AACGAACGCUGGCGGCAGGCUUAACACAUGCAAGUCGAGCGCCCCGCAAGGGGAGCGGCAGACGGGUGAGUAACGCGUGGAAAUCUACCCAUCUCUACGGAAUAACGCAUGGAAACGUGUGCUAAUACCGUAUACGUCCUUCGGGAGAAAGAUUUAUCGGAGAUGGAUGAGCCCGCGUUGGAUUAGCUAGUUGGUGGGGGAAAGGCCUACCAAGGCGACGAUCCAUAGCUGGUCUGAGAGGAUGAUCAGCCACACUGGGACUGAGACACGGCCCAGACUCCUACGGGAGGCAGCAGUGGGGAAUAUUGGACAAUGGGCGCAAGCCUGAUCCAGCCAUGCCGCGUGAGUGAUGAAGGCCCUAGGGUUGUAAAGCUCUUUCACCGGUGAAGAUAAUGACGGUAACCGGAGAAGAAGCCCCGGCUAACUUCGUGCCAGCCGCCGCAGUAAGAC